rnacentral:lncRNA from 1 species
CAGAAAAUUUCUAGUGUACAAACUAACAUAUACUUCAGAGCUUGACCAGCACUGACAUGAGUAGCCAUUUUAUAAAUACAAGGAUAUAUGGAGCAAUUUAAAUUUUUCUGCAAAGGACUGACAUACAGGUCAUUCACUACAAUGGGGCUACUCCCUGAUAUCCUAUCCUUCAUGAUAGCAGCACUGGCAUGCUGGGAGGAGAAUUGUCCUGCACUGCACACGUAUCCUGCGGUCUUAAAGGUACUUCU